rnacentral:snRNA from 1 species
GUGUCUGCUUUGGCAACACAUAUACUAAAAUUAGAACAAUACAAAGAAGAUUAGCAUGACUCCUGUGAAAGGAUGAAAUGUAAAUUCAUAAAGUAUUCUGUAUUUUU